UACGGCCAUAUUACGUUAAAAUACCGGUUCUCGUUUGAUCACCGAAGUUAAACAACGUUGAAACUGGUCAGUACUGAGAUGGGUGACCGCUUAGAAAUACCAGUUGCUGUA